rfam:Vitis vinifera, whole genome shotgun sequence of line PN40024, unoriented chromosome 19, chr19
CGGCAGUGAUUACAUAUUAUCCGCGCUUCUGAGAGCUAUCAAUGAAGCAGAAAGAAAAAAGAUUUGGUUGAAUUUCUUGAUAUGAGCCA